UACAGAGGGUGCAAGCGUUAAUCGGAAUUACUGGGCGUAAAGCGUGCGUAGUCGGUUAUCUAAGUCAGGUGUGAAAUCCCCGGGCUCAACCUGGGAAUUGCAUUUGAUACUGGAUAGCUAGAGUUCGGCAGAGGGAAGUGGAAUUUCUGGUGUAGCGGUGAAAUGCGUAGAUAUCUGGAGGAACACCGGUGGCGAAGGCGGCAUCCUGGACCGGCAUUGACGCUGAGGCGCGAAAGCCAGGGGAGCAAACGGG
rnacentral:rRNA from 1 species